rnacentral:rRNA from 1 species
GUCUAUGGCCAUGCCACCCUGAAUGUGACCCAUCUCAUCUGAUCUCAGAAGCUAAGCAGGGUUGGGCCUGGUUAGUACUUGGAUGGGAGACCACCUAGGAAUACCGGGUGCUGUAGGCA